rnacentral:rRNA from 1 species
UGGGGAAUCUUGGGCAAUGGGCGCAAGCCUGACCCAGCCAUGCCGCGUGUGCGAAGAAGGCUCUAGGGUUGUAAAGCACUUUCAGUGGUGAAGAAAAUCUCGGGGUUAAUACCCCCGGGUCUUGACGUUAGCCACAGAAGAAGCACCGGCUAACUCCGUGCCAGCAGCCGCGGUAAUACGGAGGGUGCGAACGUUAAUCGGAAUUACUGGGCGUAAAGCGCGCGUAGGCGGUUCGGUAAGUGGGAUGUGAAAGCCCCGGGCUCAACCUGGGAACUGCAUUCCAAACUGCCGAACUGGAGUAUGGUAGAGGGAGGUAGAAUUUCCUGUGUAGCGGUGGAAUGCGUAGAUAUAGGAAGGAAUACCGAUGGCGAAGGCAGCCUCCUGGACCAAUACUGACGCUGAGGCGCGAAAGCGUGGGUAGCAAACAGG